GUCACUUUGCCGGAGUGGUUAACGGGAUCGCCUGCUAGACAGCCAAGCGGUUGGUCUUUGACCGCGAGUGUUCGAAUCGCUCAGGUGACG